UUUAUUUGUAGUGUUAUACAUGUCAUUUUAAGUAUCAUAAAAUUUUAAGUAAAGAAUACAUAUAAUUUUAGGUAUAUUUUUACGAGAAUAAUACUAAUUUUUAUUUUUUCUUAAUUUAAAUCUGCAUAUACUAGCAACCCGUGCCACACCAUUUUAAAAAAAAACUUACUUUAACCCGCCCCCGCCCCGCCCCGCCCCGCCCCGCAUAGCUUAAAACCCGCACCUCCCCGCAUAGCUUAAAAUCCGCACCGCACUCGCACCCGCGCCGCCCCAUUGCCAUCCCUAUGUCUGAAUAGAUAAUGCUUGUAUAGUUGCUGAUGAAAACAUAUCAGAGAAGGGGGAUAUUUAUUAAAAUGUUGUAGACAGGCUGUGGGUUGGAGUUGAAGUUUUUGUCACUAACCACCGAGGACAAAUCCAUGUGCCUAUUUGUUGGCUAUGUUUAUAUGGGACCUUAAGUUUGUGGAUCGAAGGUCUAUUACAGUGUGGUUAGAGUUCAAGAAGUUGACUUAUAGAGUGAUCACGCGAAAACAAAAUACAGGGAAGAGGUGAUCUUGAUUUAUUCAUGGUAAAAGAUAAAGGGCCAGAAAAAAGAUUAUACCAGAGUUUGCAAACACGCCUAGAGUGUAACAUGGAGUUGAUUGACAAUUUUGAGAGAAUUUCUACCAUAAUCACCCUUGGAAGAUCCAUAAAUCUGGUUCUUCUAUGAUUAGGCUUGAAGAAUCUUAGUAUUUGAUUAAAGAGAGUGGAAAGCUUAGAGUUUUUAGGUGUAGGUUCUUGGCCCGGGCAUGUUAAAAAAAAGGAUUACUACGGGAUUUUUUGAAUAUGCCUAUAUCUAUCGCUUUUCCUUCAUUGAUUUGAUUCUUUCAAUAGAUAUCGAGAUUCAUAUUGGAAAUAAAAAAUACAGUAAUUCAAAUUAUAAGACAUAAGAGUAAUUCAGAUUGAUCAGAACAAAUAGAUAUAGCAAAUAAAUAGAAUUGGAUGCUAUGUCAGUCCCAUAUAUGGAAUUGAUAUUCACAUAUAUCAAGAUAUGAAAAGUUUAGAGUUUUUAGGUGUAGGGUCUUGGCCUCUAUCUCUCUCAGCGUACAAACAAACAAGCGUUGUUUUGUUCGAAGAUAAAUGUUUGGCAGAAGCAAGAAGAUUAGCUUUAGCGCACAAAGUUAAAGUGAUACCAAAAUAUGCUUUAGCGCACCAUUUUAGUGCGCUAUGGUGCCUUUUUAAAGGACUGUAACAUAAAGGCAUAGCACACUAAAUUAGUGUGCCUAUUUUAGUAUCUCUUUAACUUAGUGCCCUAUUUCAGUCACUCAACUAUUUGGGGGUUAUUUAGGUUCUAGACUUUGUUUUAUGCUUGAAUAAAAGCUUGUUAUAUCCUUUACAAGCAGAAAAUCCUUGUUUACUACUACUAUACAAAAUGGUUAAGAAAAAACAAGGAAUUGUUUUAUCUAUUUUUCAAGUCCCACUCAAAUGGAAGUGAGAAGUGACCUCUCUACUAUAUCUCAUCUUUCUCAUUUCCAAUCCUACUGCUUUGCAAAGUUCAUGGGUAGAAGAAUUUGCACAGUGGUACUACUUAUAAUCUCCUUAAGUGGGAUGUGAGAUCAAUGAACGCAUCCUCUUUGCAAGGUAUUGUAAGACCAUCCAUUGGAUUAUCAAAGACAAACUCUUCUUCAGCUUGAGCUAAAGUGAUACCAAAUUAGGCUUAGCAGUGGGCUAUGCUUAUAUUUUAAAUGUCUCUCCUCAAGUUAACGGAGUUAACUUUAAAAGGCAGCAUAGCACACUAAAAUAGUGCAGUGAGCCUAUUUUGGUAUCACUUUAACUUCGUGUCCUGUUUCAGUCACUUUUAACUGUUUUGGGGUCAUUUAGGUUCAAGACUCUACCUUUCAUGGGGUCAAAUAAUACAAAACGGAGGGAGUAUAUAUUAGGCAUAUAAAGUUACUCCUGGCGGUUACGACGCUACCUUUUUCAGAAAGUACGUUGACUGCAAAAUUUCAUCUUUUUGCUUCUGCCGAACAUUUAUAUUUGAAAAGCUCAUGAAAAGAACAACAGUUUUUUGUACACGACCCCUAUCAAUUGAUGUUUAGCAUUAGGUAUUGGAAAAUGAUUUGGAGCAUAAGUAAAAAAUGCAAUGGUAAAACAUGGAAAAAUAAUAAUUAUUUUUUCUUGAUAUGUCAAAAGUGACGAGUAAAAAUGGAAAUCCAUUUUAGAAAUAAGUGACAAGUAAAAGUAAACGGAGAGAGUAACAUUCAUAAACAUGAUUUCAUGACUCAAUAAGCAAGUAUCUGUAGAUUUCCACAAUCUAUUCUGAGCUAACAUUUAUAAACAUGCUUUCGGAGAUGCUAUAAAGAGGCUUUUUUGUAAGUAGAUACUUGGUUGUACACUGAGAGAUAGAUGGAGGCCAAAAACCCUAAACGCAAAAGCUCUAAUCUUUUCGCUCUCUUUUAUCCAUUACUAUGAUUCUUCAAGCGUAAACAUAGAAGAACCAGAUUUAUGGAUCUUCCGAGGGUGAUUAUGGUAGAAAUUUUCUCAAAAUUGUCAAUUGAGUCCAUGUUAAGCUCUAGGCGCAUUUGCAAACUCUGGUAUAAUUUUUUUUCUGACCCUUUAUUUCUUACCAUGUAUAAAUCAAGAUUACCUCCCUGUAUUUUGUUUUCGCAUGAUCACAAUAUAAGUCAGCUUCUUGAACUCGAACCAUGUUGUGAUGCUUAUUCUUCUAGACUCCGUAACAAACCCUAUUUUAUUAAGCUGCCCUGAGUUAAACAUACCAGUGAAAUGGGAAAUGGACAUUCCAGUUGAGGAUUACCCUAUGUUGAGAUUAAUUGGUUCAUGUAAUGGAUUUAUUGGUUUCAUGACUAAUAUAUAUGAUAUAAAUGCUUUAGUUUACAUUAGCAAUCCUCUUUUGGGUGAGUAUUUCAAACUUAUGUUGCCCAAAUUAGAGAAAAGUGUUUGUAGUGUUGUUUAUGGAUUUUGCUUUAGUGUAGUCUCUGGAAAGUAUAAGUUAGUGAGAUCAGUGACUAAAAGGUUUGGGGGUCAUCCUGAAGUAUCAGAAUUGGAGGUUUUUGUACUCUUGGAGUUGAUGAGAAAUGGAGAAAUUUGGGCCAAGUUCCAUAUCCUGUUUGGCAAGAUUUUUGCCAGGUUUGUGUAAUAGGGCUCUUCAUUGGAUGGAUCCCAUCAAUAAGGGCAACAUUUACUUCUUCGAUAUUGAGAAUGAAAAGCUCAAGUCUGUGCCAGUUCCACCUGGUCUGGUAUUUCUGUUCAAGCAUUUGACCCAAGAAGAGUUGGUGAGAUCUAGACGUCCACCCUCAGGUUUGACGCUAGUAGAGUUGGGGUCUAUGUUUAACUGAUGAUAGUGGUAGCAGUUUUGGGCAUAUUGAUAUAUGGUGGAUGAAAGAGUAUGGUAUAGCUGAAUCUUGGACUAAAGAUCGCAUUUUCACUUGUUUGGGGCUGGCUGGUAUUGGGCUUAAUAUUUGUUAUUAUAAAUAUUUAUCAAUCCUAAUCUGGAAUGAUGGAGAAAUCUUGACUCAAGGGAAAAAAGACUCACAGCUACCUUCUUACAACCCAAAAGACAAGAUUUUUAGGAUGAUCCCCCUUAGCAGGGGUGUUGUAACAGUAGCGACUAGAUAUCUUUCAAGUUUUUACUCACUCAAGACUAUCGUGGGGGACAAGUUUCAAGUCUCAAAUGUUUAUCCGAAUGAAAAUGAGAUAGUUUAGAUAUUUAGUUUGACUUAUUUCCUCCAUGGUAUUAUGUUUUACUUCUACUUCUCUGGGGUAAUUUGGUUUAGAACAACUUUUACUUUUUGUGGAUGGUUUUGAAUUUUGAUAAAACAACUGUCUGUAUAUGUGUAUGUUGUCCAUUUCAAUAUUCUUAAGUUAUUUGCAUGUCUCCAAAACUGCAUUUUCUUUCUUCAUUUCAUGCUGCACUUGUCUGAAUAGAGUGAACUACAAAAGGAACAAACGUCAGCAUAUUAGUUAGGCAUAUUUACUUUGAAGAAGUGCAAUUUGAUUGGAAUGUUACUCUGCUGCAGAACUAUUUUUUUUUGCCCGCAAUAAAAUAAUGCUACUCCAAGAAGAGAAUGUUAAAACUUCGCAAUUCCCAAAGUGAAAAAAAUGAGUUCUAUAGAUCUGGUUCUUUCUGUAAUAGUACAAGCUUUCAGUUGCCUAUUUUUCACCUACUAUACAAUCUACUUUGAGCUAUUCUUUACAAAACAUGAUAGCAUGACUCAAUAAACAAGAAGUUGCUGGUUUUGACUCUCUUGCUGCAAAGAAGAAGUUGAACAACAUGAAGGAAUUGAGAGGAGCGACGCCUUGUGAAGAUCUCCUGCAGCUACACCAUUCUUGAUAAGCGAAAUAAUAGUCUAUGAAGGCUGAAUCACAGGGUGAGUCAGGGGAAAUGCAUAGCGCCUUUGAUCAAUUGUAUAGACUACAAAAUGGCCCUUUUCAACUAUAGAGGAUGAGGAUGUACUGCAACCAUCUGCAUCACUGCCAUUUCGUGGACAUGAAAUCCUUAUCCUUUGCAUCGCUGCAAACUUCUGCUAUUUCCUGGCCAUCUUGAUGAGUUUUUUAGCGCUGAGAAUUGCCAUUUUCCUUGGAAGAUUGGAAGCAAGAAAGGAAACUAGAAAUUUAGAAUAAUUUGGUGUAUGAAUAGUAAUGCUUAUUGUAGUUAAUGAAAACAUAUCACAGAAUGGAGGUUAUUUAUACAAAAGGCUGUGGACAGGCUUUUGGUUGGA